rnacentral:lncRNA from 1 species
AAGAUUGCAAAGUUUUAGCCGACUCGGCGAGAAUCCUACAUCAGCGAUAAAGAAUAGAAGAAGCUCUAACUCGAAUUUUGAUUUGGAGAAGCAGUAGACAAGCCCGGAUGAUCUAAAGAAUUUAAAAAUUUUAGGAAAUAAUUGAAUCAGACAAGUGACUCAUUAAGUAAGAAUUAAGAAAUUAAUCAAAUAAAUUAUCUAUUAAUCUAACUGCUAUAAGUAGACUAGAUUAUGCCCAAAUUUUGAUAGCACCUCCCCUAUAAAUUGGACUAUCCAUCUGUUUAAAUAUUAAUGAUUUUAUUAAAUAUUUAUUCAAUCUACACAACUCAUCCGUCAGUUAAUAAAAUCAAAAUCUCAUCCUCCUUUAAUAGUCACAUCACCACAAAACCAUAAUUUAUAAAUUAAAAUAACUCUCAAUCACACCUUAAAAUAAUCUUCCAACUUUAGACAACAAUAUUAUCAAUCUCUUAUCUUACAUCAAUAUAAUUAGCUUCUUUAAUUAACUGCCAAAUAAAUAAAAUUUUUUAUAAAUAUAAAUAUAAACAAAUCUUAUACCAAUGUUCUUUUAAUCGACACUUGCACAUUAAAUAUCUUAAGCUUAACCACUUCAUAUACUCUUAUACAAAUAUAUGUCAUAAUCCAAUCAUUCAUACACGCUUUACUUUCUCUAAACCAACAUAAAAAUCAUUUCUUGUAACAGUUACCAUUAUUCAAAAUUUCAAGUUUUCCACCAAAAUUCAUGUUUCACACAAUAAUCAAUUCAUUCUCAACAUAAAUUAUCUUUAUAAAAAAUCAUUCCUUCUUAAAUUUAAAUGGCUCACAUAAUUAGGAAGUUAUUUGCUACCGUAAAUGAGAAUCCCUUGAUUUCUUCACGAUGUAUAAGUAAAUAAACUAGACAUUAUAGAAAAAGAAAUUUCAAUUUUCAUAAACCAACUAGAUAGUAAAGAUCAAAGUUUCAUCAAAUAUUUAAAAUAUAAUAUAUAUAUAUAUAUCCUACUUAACUCAUCUAAAAACUCAAUUCAUAAUUCCUAAUAAUAAUAAUUUUAACAAAAUUCUCCAAAUCCACCUGCAGAAUACCAAAGCUAAGAGUUUAAUCUAUACAUUACUUCAAUCUAUACUUUAAUCCCUUCAACUAAAAUCAAAAACCUAUGAAUUCCACCUCAAAGAGUCAAAAUAUAGCUCACCAGCUGCAAAACGAGUUGGAAAUUGAAAAUUUCCAACUAAAAUGACCGGAAUUUGCUCUACUGCCCGAUCCGAUUUUGUCGGUGUUAACUUGGCCAGAGCUGGAGAGGACCGUGGUCGGUGAGGUUGCUAGAGGGGAUGGAAGAGCUCAAUCAGCGAUCCUUGGCUGGUUUCGCUGGAGGAGCAGACAAACGAUGAAUCGACUGUCCCAAACGCAACAGAUUGAAAUCGCAGCUCCUUGUUUUGCUGCGCCAACCGGAAACAGAAGAGAGAGAGCGCGUGAAACGGAGAGACCGAAGCUUCAUCGCCAAUCGCUGGUACUGGAGUCGCCGAAAAAUCGAGUGAGCUGCGAUGCGCUUUCCUGAUCUAACGAAAUCACAGGUUUCUUGCAAUAGCUGCACUCUCCAGAGACGUGAGGCGGCGGUGUGGCAAGGAGGCGGUGGUGGACAGUUGUUGCCCGGCGAUCGGGAAAAUGAAAACAAAGGAAAUGGAGGGGCUGAAGUUGGCGUUCAAAGGGAUAGAGAGGCUUCUAGAGGGUUCUGGUUUAGGCCUUAGGAAAUGAUUUGGUUUGAUUCGAUUCAGGGUCUCUGCUUGGGUUUCCUUUCGAUUUGUGGGCUUUUCAAUUGCUUUAAUUAAUUAUUUAGAUUCGGUAAUUAAAUAAAUAAAUAGGGUGUUAAUUAACUAAAUUUUUAAAUGUAAUAACUUCUAUAAUGCCAUUGAUUAGGAUUAAAAAUUAAAUUUUUAAAUGAAAAAUUUUUGAAAAUAAAAUUCCGGAUGAUUUUAAUAAAUCACAUCAUCCACUUUAAAAAAAAAUCUAGUUGAAAUAAAA